rnacentral:lncRNA from 1 species
AGAUGCCCUAUCCCAGUUCACUGAACAGAAAGUGCCACUUGUCAUUGGUGAAAUUGAAAUUCAAAACUUGGGUUGUCAUCAGGGUUCCUACAUUCUUGCUGAUGUCUCAUAGCUGAUUAGAGCCUCUGGAGCCUGGACUGGACAGAUAGAAGGUUAGACUGUAGCUGGGGACUGACACCACCAGUCAUUCUCAGUGGCUGUUUGGAGCACACAUCAUUGGCUUUGGGAUUUCUCACAUUGGAUAUUAAAGAUCAAAAUCGCCAGAUGAAGAUGUAUAAAGAGAUAGUGCUUUUGCUACUAUUUUUAGAAUCAAAUCUCGGCGAUGCUACAAAAGAGGAACAGGAACAGACAUCGAUUGGAAAAACCACUGAGAAGCAUUUGACUACCCAAAGCCAUUCUGAGAUCUUAGCAAAUACAGUUGGACAAAAAGGAUCAGACGAUGGGAUAGUUCAUACUCUCUCCGGACCAGUGGUCGCCGUGAUUGUUUUGGCUACAAUAGCUGGUGUUGUUGGGGUCGUCCUCUUUGGAACAUUCCUGGUUCGAUGGCUGACAAGGAAAAAAUGAUACAUCCUUGACUUGAAACGACUUGAAAAGAUCCUGAAAAGAAGACUGUGUGAACGAUUCUGUGGGAAAAUGGGAAGCAUUGCUUUGUCCUGACAAUAGAAGGCAUCUCCCUGAAUUGGAGACAGUAUCAGGAGGCACAUUUUAUCCAGAGGUUCCUGUUCUAGAGACUCGGUGAUGGAUAAAUAAACAGCCCUGCUGAGUGAACUUUUUUGAUAUU